rnacentral:rRNA from 1 species
ACGGCUAUACCAUGCUGAAUAUACCGGUUCUCGUUAGAUCACCGAAGUCAAGCAUCAUUGGGCACGGUCAGUACUUGGGUGGGUGACCACCUGGGAACACCGCGUGCCGUU